GACGAACGCUGGCGGCGUGCUUAACACAUGCAAGUCGAACGGAAAGGCCCUGCUUUUGUGGGGUGCUCGAGUGGCGAACGGGUGAGUAACACGUGAGUAACCUGCCCUUGACUUUGGGAUAACUUCAGGAAACUGGGGCUAAUACCGGAUAGGAGCUCCUGCUGCAUGGUGGGGGUUGGAAAGUGUCGGCGGUUGUGGAUGGACUCGCGGCUUAUCAGCUUGUUGGUGGGGUAGUGGCUUACCAAGGCUUUGACGGGUAGCCGGCCUGAGAGGGUGAACGGCCACAAUGGGACUAAGAGACGGCGCAGGAUGCUACGGGAGGCAGCAGGGGGGAAUAUUGCACAAUGGGCGGGAGCCUGAGGCAGAAACGCCGCGUGCGGGAUGACGGCCUACGGGUGGUAAACCGCUUUCGCAUGUGACGAAGCGUGAGUGACGGUAAUGGGUAAAGAAGCACCGGCUAACUACGUG
rnacentral:rRNA from 1 species